rnacentral:tRNA from 1 species
AGCACUAGUAGCUCAGCAUCAGAGCGUCG